AAUAGAUACCCGGGUAGUCCACGCCGUAAACGAUGAGUGCUAGGUGUUGGGGACUCCAAUCCUCAGUGCCGCAGCUAACGCAAUAAGCACUCCGCCUGGGGAGUACGGCCGCAAGGCUGAAACUCAAAGGAAUUGACGGGGGACCCGCACAAGCGGUGGAGCAUGUGGUUUAAUUCGAAGCAACGCGAAGAACCUUACCAGGGCUUGACAUCCCUCUGAUCCUCCUAGAGAUAGGAGCUCCCUUCGGGGCAGAGGUGACAGGUGGUGCAUGGUUGUCGUCAGCUCGUGUCGUGAGAUGUUGGGUUAAGUCCCGCAACGAGCGCAACCCUUAUCUUUAGUUGCCAGCAUUUAGUUGGGCACUCUAGAGAGACUGCCGUCGACAAGACGGAGGAAGGUGGGGAUGACGUCAAAUCAUCAUGCCCCUUAUGUCCUGGGCUACACACGUGCUACAAUGGAUGGAACAACGGGCAGCUAACUCGCGAGAGUACGCAAAUCCCGUUAAAACCAUUCUCGAGUUCGGAUUGCGACGG
rnacentral:rRNA from 1 species